UUCUUUUUGGUCGCAGUUUCAACGAGCGUUGUGUGAACUAGAAGUGCCAGUUCCAGCAGAAAAGAGAGAGUUUAGUCUACCACGUACGGUACCAGAAACAAGGACAUGACACCAAUCUUGAUAUUAUCAUCUAGAAAGUCUACAUGGAAUGUCUGGAGUGAGCAGUUAUUGGUAUUUAGUCAUAUCACUCAGUGUACAACAUGUCUGCGUUCCCUAUCUUGUGUGAACUAUCUUCCAUCAUAAAUAAGAGAGCUAGUUUACCACAGACAAGGACAUGACACCAAUCUUGAAAUCAUCAUCUACAAGGAAUGGAUAGUGUGAGCAGUUAUUGAUGUUUAGUCAUAUCACUCAGUGUACAACAUGUCUGCGUUCCCUAUCUUGUGUGAACUAUCUUCCAUCAUAAAUAAGAGAGCUAGUUUACCACAGACAAGGACAUGACACCAAUCUUGAAAUCAUCAUCUACAAGGAAUGGAUAGUGUGAGCAGUUAUUGAUGUUUAGUCACGUCACUCAGUGUACAGCAUGGAUGCACACCCUUUCUUGUGUGAACCAUCUUCCAUCAUAAAUGAAAGAGCCAUUCUACGAGAGACAAGGACCUGACACCAAUCUUUAUAUUGUCAUCUACAUGGAAUAUCUGGCGUGAGCAGUUAUUGGUAUUUAGUGUACAACAUGGCUACAUCCCCUAUCUUAUGUGAACCAUCUUCCAGCAUAAAAGAGAGAGCUAGUCUACCAGAAACAAGGACAUGACACCAAUCUUGAUAUCAUCAUCUACAAGGAAUGUCUGGAUGAGUAUUGGUAUUUUGUCAUAGUUUCAAAAGCAAGUGGUCAGAUCUGUACAUUCCUUUAUAUUCUUUGGAGGUUGUAUACAAAAAUACAAUUAUGCAAAUUGACUAGGUAUGCUUGUUUUCACAUAUAUAUCAGAUCAAAUUUUACAGCCACUUUUUUUCCAUUUUUCUAUAGGGAAUUCUUAUUUAUUGAAUUAUAAGCGGGGAAUAUUACAAGAGACGGUAACAAUUUCCAAGGACAUAGAGAGGGGCAUUUAGUCCAGUAAAUGGGCAUCCACAAUUUAUUUAUUAUCAAACAAAUUGAAUGAACCAAAUAUUUGAAAUAUAUCCAAAACAUAUUUUAUUUUUUAAUACCCAACUCAACCCUCACUUGCCAUAUGUGUUUUUCCAUUUAAGCCAUUUUUGACGUGUGAAAAAGUGGGCAGUUUCUACCAACCUCUUAUACCAAAUUUUGGCCACAUUUGAAUAAUUCAGAACAUGCUCUAACACACACACAAAAGUUAAUUUACCAAAAAUCAGUGAUUCAUGUAAAUAGGACAAUAUACAUGGCCAGUGAGGGUAUAUGCAUUUGCUACUCAUGAACCCAUUUUCAUGUGUUUUAUAAUAAGUUUUGUGUAGAUCCAAGGGGCAGGUCCAAGCUGUUAUCUGUAUCGAAAUUAUUUGUUCUUUCAUUAAUGGAUGCAUACAAUGUAGGGCAUAUUUACUAGAAAAAAAUAAUUUGUGCAUUAUGUUGGAAAUGUUUUGCAAGUAUUGUGAGGAUUAGAAUUAAGAUUGUUUAGUAAUUGAGCCUUGGAUGUAUUUGUGGAUAAUUUUUGUGUUAACUAGUCUGCAAAAGUGGAUCCAAAGGUUUUCCAGAGUUUUUUCCUUUUGUGUUUUAUCUCUGUUUUUUUACCCUGGAUCUACUUGUCGUAGAAUUUUUUUAACACAAACAUUUCUCCCUCCCAACUUCUGUGCACAAUACCUUUAUACAUACUUAUUUUUCCAUGAAUAUUGUUAAUAUGUUCUGUCCUAUAGUCAAUUGCUAUUCAAAGAAAGUAUAUGAUAUGAAUAUUCCCAAUUUCAAUUUUAUACUUAUUUCAAUUGCGAAAUCAUUGAUCAAAUGCACAGUGUAUAAUAUGUGGUGCUGUAAAUCUUUAACCCUAAAAAGACUUUU